UUGUUCAGUUGGGUGUUUUACAAAUGAACAAUGUCAUGAACAGAGCUAUAGUGUUGUUUCUCCUGUGAUAAAAGCAGUAUGUGACUACAGCUCAGAAGUCACUUACUGCAAAAGUUUUUACAGCAGAAUGCUACUAUAGAGGACUUAUUUCUGUGAAAAUUUCAGGUUCAUAUCUGGUCCCCCACCAGAGAUAUUCAACCCGAAAAUGAGGGAAAUUUUCGCCCCCCUAAAAAAAAGAGGAAGAGCGGUCUCAAACUUGACACGUUCUGAAUGCACAAUAUACAUGCAUAGGUCCCUCCUGAAAAUUAAGACUGAGACUCGAACUCUUCCCAUUAUAAAUUGACCCUAAAAACGGAACUGUGAGCAAUCUUGAGCAUUACAUUUGGACUUGCGUUCUAAGUCUAAAGAAUAAGAAUUUGCAAAAUAUUUAUAUGUGCUCUAGAGAUCAGUUUUCGUUCCAAGGAGCUAUGAUCAUCAUGAGCCGAGAUAUUGAGAUAUCCGUAAAUAACUGUAUAACCAAAAUUUGUUGUGUCCCAUGACACAAUGAUGUCCGUUGUGGUUAAACCAAGUAAAACAAUGAAAAAACAGGUGGUUUUGCAAUGCCAAUACAUAGAGAUAAUCACUCAAUAAAAUUUAGAGAAAUGGACAAUUGUGAUGGACUGACCCAUCUGUUUAACAUAUUCUGCUCAAUUCAAAUAGUCUAUUCAUAUUUGUUUACAUCCCUACUUGUUUAACCUACAUAAAGACUCACUUAAGCUUCCCAGUCAACACUCCUUCAAGUCAUGUCUCGCUCCCUGCUUACUGUACAAAUCCUGCCAGGACGUGAGGACUAAGACAUUCAAUUCACCUAUGGAUAAAUGAAAUCUUCAAGAAGCAAUAUAAAUCACUGAUAAUAAAUAAAGUCUCAAAGCAUAAGUGUCAUGAAAUGGAUUCAAUUUGCAAUUCAAAAGCCUUUUUUCAUUAUAGGUAACAAAAACUGCUGAAUAGUAUUCAUUCAUCCUCAGUAACUGCUUUAUCCUGGUUAGAGUCGUGGUGGAUUUGGAACAUGUCCCGGGAACACUGGGCACGAGGCAGGAAUACACCCUGAAUGAGACAUCACAGGGCACUAUGCACACUCACAUUCACACACUCACGCACACCUAGGGCCAAUUUAACAUUGCCAAGUCACUUACUGCCAUGUUUUUUGUAGAUUGUGGAAAAAUGUAUGCAGACACAGAGAGCACUCUCCAGGAACUCCAGAAAAUCCACACAGACAGUAACCUGAGCUCAAUAUCAAACCCAGAACCCUGGAGUUUGAAGCAGUGUGAAGCAGUAAUGCUACCCACUACACCACUGUGCCACCCCACCAUAUAGUAUAUAUAAGUUUAGAUAUUAAUAGUUCACAAAUCUAAAAAAUUAUAUCAAAGUAUCUUCAUUUCUUAAUUGCAUCUUAAUGUCUCAACGUGAUAUAAAUAUUCUUUAAUAAGAUGUAUGCUCACCAUUUCCCUUUGUCUAUUUGUGUGUUCUCUAAACAUAUUUAGGUUUCUUUGAGUUGCAAUAGUCAUUCCCCCAAUUUACCUGACAUACAAAAUCUGUCACAACAAUGUCAAAGACAGCCUUUUUCCAAUCUGAGUGACAGGAUCAUGGUAAAACUUCCUUUCUGUUGAUUCUGUUUUUUUUUUUGUUGUUGUUGUUUUUUAAUAACAUCUUGGAAUCCUUUUUAUUUUGUAGAUAAAAUAUAAAAUAAAGGUACAUUUUCAAGUUUUCUCCCAGACACAAUGAUUUUUUUUAUUCAACUGUGCAUAAGCAGCAAGUUGAGAGAAUGUGUGUGAUUGUCCCAGCCAUUCAUUUUCCAUACCACUUAUCCUACACAGGGUUGCAAGGAAGCCUGGAGUCUAUCCCUGGGAACACGCAGGGCACAUGCACACCCCAUUCACACACUAUAGACAAUUUGGAAAUGCCAAACAGCUUACCCCCAUGUCUGGGGGAGGAAAGUGGACUACCCGGAGGAAACCCCCCAAAGCAUGGGUCUUUCCACCUGAGUAUUCUUUCUGUACUCUGAGAUACAACACCAUCUGCCCAACUUGCAUGCCAGGGGCCCAUCCAGAUAAUUUUCAGAGAAGUGGAAACAACAUUAAGAGGUGGGUGGGUUUUCGGGAGCAUCAAAGGAGAAAUAAUGAGGACUGCAUUUAGCAUGGAUGUUAGUUAAGUACAUUUGUGCAUUUGCUAAUUCUAUACUUAAAAAUAAAUAAAUAAAUAAA